UCAUGCAUAUAACAAGCUUUAUCACCUCAUAUUAUUCAUAGAAAUACACUUAAAAUACAUAAAUGCAUGUUUUUUUCUUCAUUUUAUAUCUAUUUCUAUUGGGUAUUUUGACUUUUUCAGGUAGAAGAAUGUCUGCGACUAAGCCGAGGGCCACUUGAUAAGGGUUGUUGAUGGUAAAACAGGUAGAAGAAUGUCUGCGACUAAGCCGAGGGCCACUUGAUAAGGGUUGUUGAUGGUAAAACAGGUAGAAGAAUGUCUGCGACUAAGCCGAGGGCCACUUGAUAAGGGUUGUUGAUGGUAAAACAGGUAGAAGAAUGUCUGCGACUAAGCCGAGGGCCACUUGAUAAGGGUUGUUGAUGGUAAAACAGGUAGAAGAAUGUCUGCGACUAAGCCGAGGGCCACUUGAUAAGGGUUGUUG